CGGUGCGUGUAACGAAGCGUUACACUAUCGACCUUCAUACUAUUUCUGGCACCAUACAAAUUCUAAAUUCCCUUUUGAAAUUCAAAUCCUAUUCCAAAUUCCAUUCAAUGAUUUUUAUUUUCAGUUCGAUCACAUACUCUGAUCGAUAAACAUCAUUUAAUCUAACAGACUGUACUUCCCAAGUUUCUAAACACGACCGUUUAAGUGUGAUUUUUAUUAGUUAAACGUAAACUUCAGUAUAGUGCUCGUUUUGUGGCCCUGCACACCUUCCAGAUAUAUAUCUACAUCAUCACCAAGGCACAUAUUGUAAGUUAUUUGAUUUCUAACCUUCUGAAUUACGAAAGUGUUUUUAUACAUACCUAUCUGUUAACACGUAACCUGUAUUGUUACAGGUGCCUUUUUAUUUAAAUAAUAAAUACCCCUCAUCGCUCUGGA